rnacentral:ncRNA from 1 species
UUGGGUAUCUGAUGAUUCAGAUUUAAUAGGGAACACGGGUGAGAAUCCCGGACAGUCCCGCUGCUGUAUUUCUCAGGUAUAGUUUUGGAUGAGCAUUCAGCCCCUUUGAAUGCGAUAAACGCCACUGACCCGGAUGGUCGGGAAGGUUCCAAACGAGGAGAUAAGUCAGAAGACCUGCCCAAGAUUCUA